AUGGGAUUCCUGCGGGAUCCUGCUGGAAUUCCCAGAUUUUUCCUGUCCCGGAAUUCCUGGAUUUGUACCUGUUCCAGAGCGCCCGAAUUCCCAGAAUUCCCAGAUUUUACCUGUCCCAGAAUUCCAGGAUUUGUACCUGUUCCAGAGCGCCCAAAUUCCCAGAUAUUUUACCAGUUCCAGAAUUCCCGGAAUUCCACGAUUUGCACCUGUUCCAGAAUGCCCAAAUUCCCAGAAUUCCCAGAUUUUUCCUGUUCCAGAAUUCCCGGAUUUGUACCUGUUCCAGAGCGCCCGAAUUCCCAGAAUUCCCAGAUUUUUCCUGUUCCAGAAUUCCAGGAUUUGUACCUGUUCCAGAAUGCCCAAAUUCCCAGAAUUCCCAGAUUUUUCCUGUCCCAGAAUUCCAGGAUUUGCACCUGUUCCAGAGCGCCCAAAUUCCCAGAAUUCCCAGAUAUUUUACCAGUUCCAGAAUUCCACUAUUUGCACCUGUUCCAGAAUGCCCAAAUUCCCAGAAUUCCCAGAUUUUCCUAUCCCGGAAUUCCAGGAUUUGCACUUGUUCCAGAAUGCCCAAAUUCCCAGAAUUCCCAGAUAUUUUACCAGUUCCAGAAUUCCAGGAUUUACACCUGUUCCACAACGCCCAAAUUCCCAGAAUUCCCAGAUUUUUCCUGUCCCAGAAUUCCAGGAUUUGUACUUGUUCCAGAAUGCCUGAAUUCCCAGAAUUCCCUGAUAUUUUACCAGUUCCAGAAUUCCCGGAAUUCCACUAUUUGCACCUGUUCCAGAAUGCCCAAAUUCCCAGAAUUCCCAGAUUUUUCCUGUCCCAGAAUUCCAGGAUUUGCACCUGUUCCAGAAUGCCCGAAUUCCCAGAAUUCCCAGAUUUUUCCUGUCCCAGAAUUCCCGGAUUUGUACCUGUUCCAGAACGCCCAAAUUCCCAGAAUUCCCAGAUUUUUCCUGUUCCAGAAUUCCAGGAUUUACACCUGUUCCACAACGCCCAAAUUCCCAGAAUUCCCA
rnacentral:lncRNA from 1 species